rnacentral:rRNA from 1 species
UACGAAGGGGGCUAGCGUUGCUCGGAAUCACUGGGCGUAAAGGGUGCGUAGGCGGGUCUUUAAGUCCGGGGUGAAAUCCUGGAGCUCAACUCCAGAACUGCCUUUGAUACUGAGGAUCUUGAGUUCGGGAGAGGUGAGUGGAACUGCGAGUGUAGAGGUGAAAUUCGUAGAUAUUCGCAAGAACACCAGUGGCGAAGGCGGCUCACUGGCCCGAUACUGACGCUGAGGCACGAAGGCGUGGGGAGCAAACAGG